rnacentral:rRNA from 1 species
UGCGUAGGCGGAUAAAUAAGUCAGAGGUGAAAGCUCCCAGCUUAACUGGGGAACUGCCUUUGAUACUGUUUAUCUUGAAUUAUGUUGAGGUUAGCGGAAUGUGACAUGUAGCGGUGAAAUGCAUAGAUAUGUCAUAGAACACCAAUUGCGAAGGCAGCUAGCUAGGCAUAUAUUGACGCUGAGGCACGAAAGCGUGGGGAGCGAACAGGAUUAGAUACCCUGGUAGUCC